rnacentral:lncRNA from 1 species
UGGAAGGAGAUUAUCACUUCUUUUGCGAAAGACCAUUCCCUUAAAUGAAAAGCAGCACAUAAGCUCGCUCUACUACUUCGAAUACGAGAAAGAGAAUAGAAGACAAAGAGAUUCAUUACGGAUUGGAAUGCUAACGAUUGAUUCCCUUUUUUUUGGGCUCUUACACAGAAAUGAAAGACUGAAAAGAGGAAGAUAAAGCUACUCUGACUCUGAAAGUAAGCAACAAACUAGAAUCACUUCAAUAAGUAAUAAAAUUACUUGCUUCGGAAGGAGGUGCACGGGCUAAGGGAAAAGCCAAUGCCCCGGAUACGACCGGAAUUUACUUGGACUACUUCCAAGGUUUAACAUAACGACUUCGACUUCCAAUCCUUAAAAAAUAAAGAAGGGAAUAUCAGACUGCCUAGCCUACUUCAGCUACAAUCAAAACAACCUUCACCCACAAAGAAAAGCACUUACUUACCAAGCCAGGAAGAAAGAAAAUCUUUAAUGCCAGCAGUAAAAAGGAAAGAAAGAGGACGGACUUCAAGGGAAGAGAGAAGCUAAAGAAGGUUUCUUGCUUCCCGAUUGCGGGGCAGGAAGAAAGGAAGGGACUCAAAAGGCAAAUAGUCACGAAAGAUAAAGAGACAGGAUAGAAAAGAAAUUCGAGGGGAAUCCUGGCUACAUCUCUGACUUUAAAGAGCCUGACCUCUAUUACCACUACUCUUUUAGCACCAAGUCAAGACCAGGCAUCAGAAAGAGCAGGAGGAGAGCAGCAAAAGAGAAGGAAAGUAACUUUUAAAUCAUACCAUAAUCCAAAGAUAGAUAGGAAUGAAAAGCCCUAGCACUUAGAGAGGUUGAGAACGAAUCACUUUCUAGAAUAGAAAAAAAAUAACCCCGGCAGCUACACUCACUCAGCAAGGCUCUAUCUUCUCUUCUUUCUUUGGUCAUCUGUCCGCUUGUUGGAAAGGCUCUUUCUCUUUGCUGUCUCAAUCGAGCCCUUUUUAGUUAGGGUCAGAUCAAUAGAGAAGUCAGGCACGAAGAGGCUCCAAUAAGCCUCAACCUUCUUUCUACUCUUAAAUCAGACGGCUCGGCCGG